rnacentral:lncRNA from 1 species
GUGAUAUCUGAAGAAGCUAUUUGUUAGUUAAAGUUAGAGAAGAUGGCGAAGGUUGCUGCUGUGGGUCCCGUACAUCCAUCAAAUGCACUUAAAUUUGGUGUGGGUGGUGGUUCUAAGGUCACUGCCACCACAGUGAAACGAAAAACUCCAUCUGAGUUACGCGUGAGUACCUCUUUUCCCGAUUUAUUUUUAGUCAGCUUUUUAAAUAUGAAAGUAGAAUUCUUUAUGGCUAUAUGUGUAAUUUAAAUGAGAUGAACAUAAGAAUGAGAGAUUAUGUGAUUACUUUGUGGGUGAAGAGAGCAUUUGUUAGUUAGGCCUUGUAUGUAAAACUUCACUCACUUGUCCAUCAAUUGGGCCUUGUAUGAGAUCAUUAUCUCUAUGUAUUUAGAAAUAAUUUAAUUUUAAACUUUUCAUUUUACCUUUAAUGUGAUGAGUUAGCCACACAAAUAUUUAUGCCUUGUUUUAGUUCACAAGUUUCAAAAGUAUGUCUUUAAACUCUGUGCCUAGUCAAACUAAUCGCAUAAAAUGGGACAAAUGGAGUGGUUAGUAACCUCUUUACCUGUAUUAAAACCAAGAUUUUAACUUAUAUUCUCUUACAAUAUAAAAAGUUUUUACAUUAUACUUUUUACAUUGCACUUUAACCUACCUAUUAUAGCAAGUUAUUUACUUUAUUUUCAAGAUACCAGACUAGACUUAUUUUGGAUAGUCACAUGUUGUAGUGAUCAUAACCUAAUUGUGUAAAACAGUUUUACAUUAUCCAUAUAAGUGCAGAAAAGUUAAGCCCUAAACGUUAUUUUAUUCCUCCAUUACACUAUCCAUAUCAGUGCAUAUGACGCACAAGUUUCUUUUUGCUUUUAUUUUGAAAGAAACUCUUACAAUAUAGUUGAAAUUAAACGUAUUGGUUAAAUUUACAAUUAAAAUUUGACAAAAAACUAUCUUUUUUUUUUUGAAUUUUGUAAGUAGAACAAAUCUCUCACCAUGGGCAUCCAUGAGCGUCUUUCUCUACAACCACCA